AGGACGAACGCUGGCGGCGUGCUUAACACAUGCAAGUCACGGGGGCUCGCAAGAGCAACCGGCGAACGGGUGCGUAACACGUGAACAACCUGCCCUCGUGUGGGGGAUAGCCGGGCUAACGCCCGGGUAAUACCGCAUACGUUCCUUUGGGGGAGUCCCCGAGGGAGGAAAGCUCCGGCGCACGGGGAGGGGUUCGCGGCCUAUCAGCUCGUUGGCGGGGUAAUGGCCCACCAAGGCGACGACGGGUAGCUGG
rnacentral:rRNA from 1 species